GUGGCCUACGGGAGGCAGCAGUGAGGAAUAUUGGUCAAUGGGAGAGAUCCUGAACCAGCCAAGCCGCGUGAGGGAAGACGGCCCUAUGGGUUGUAAACCUCUUUUGUCGGAGAACAAAACCCGGGACGUGUCCCGGACUGCGUGUAUCCGAAGAAAAAGCAUCGGCUAACUCCGUGCCAGCAGCUGCGGUAAUACGGAGGAUGCGAGCGUUAUCCGGAUUUAUUGGGUCUAAAGGGAGCGUAGGUGGCAGGGCAAGUCAGAUGUGAAAACCCGGGGCUCAACUCCGGGAGUGCAUUUGAAACUGU
rnacentral:rRNA from 1 species